ensembl:snRNA U6 U6 spliceosomal RNA
GUGCUAGCUUUGGCAGUCCAUGUACUAAAACUGGAGCCAUACAGAGAAGAUUAGCUUGGCCCCUGCGCAAAGAUGACACAAAUUUAUAACGCAUUCCACAUUUUU